UACAGAGGGUGCAAGCGUUGUUCGGAAUUAUUGGGCGUAAAGCGCGUGUAGGCGGCUUGGUAAGUCGGGUGUGAAAGCCCUCAGCUCAACUGAGGAAGUGCGCCCGAAACUACUUUGCUUGAGUGUCGGAGAGGAUGGCGGAAUUCCCCAAGUAGAGGUGAAAUUCGUAGAUAUGGGGAGGAACACCGGUGGCGAAGGCGGCCAUCUGGACGAUAACUGACGCUGAGACGCGAAAGCGUGGGUAGCAAACAGG
rnacentral:rRNA from 1 species